rnacentral:rRNA from 1 species
UACAGAGGGGGCAAGCGUUGUUCGGAAUUACUGGGCGUAAAGGGCGCGUAGGCGGCCUUCUAAGUCAGACGUGAAAUCCCCAGGCUUAACUUGGGAACUGCGUCUGAUACUGGGAGGCUUGAGUGCGGGAGAGGGAUGUGGAAUUCCAGGUGUAGCGGUGAAAUGCGUAGAUAUCAGGAGGAACACCGGUGGCGAAGGCGCUCAUCUGGCCCAAUACUGACGCUGAGGCGCGAAAGCUAGGGUAGCGAACGGG